AUGUGUAUUAUAUUUGCCACCAUAACAAUAUGGAUUAGGUGGCCCGGGUCGGCGUCGGCGCCGUCCGGCGCAGGCCACGGGCCCGCUUCCAAGUGCGUCUGCGCGUCGGCCACCCACGCCGGGUCCUUCAAGUGCCGCUUCCACCGCACCAACUCUCAGGGCCAGGGCCACGGCCACGGCCAGGGAAGCCGCCCUUCUUCGCCCCCUUCACCGGCCGCGGCCAACGCGGUACCGCAGCACCCGGCCUUGCCGUCCUCGUCCUCCGGCACCGUCGUGACCCAGUGA
rnacentral:rRNA from 1 species